GCGGCGGGGUCGUGCGUACGUCAAACGAGCCUCAGGGCCCGGUACGGGCGACGUUGGAGGCCAGGAGGAGCGCUUUCCCGAAGGCCUGGCCUCCCCACUGAGACCCUCAUCCCAGUCGCUGGAGUCUAGCCGCCUAAAACCUGCGUGGGUCUUCAGGAACCCCACCCCCGCGGCACUCGGGCCCCGCCCCCCGCGGCCGGCCUCGCCUUGGGGCGCACAGGCUCCGCCCCGGUCUCAGAGACCCCGCCCCCGACGUGAACAUGGCGGAUGGCGGCUUGCUGGGUACGAGGACCGUGCGCCUGGCCUCCCUCCCGGAGCGCCGCAGAGAGGUACCGAGAGGAGCUGCCUGCCACCACCGGUGACAAACGGACAAUCACGUAACAGGAGGGAAGCGAGCGGGUUCUGAAGGGUGGCGUGGUGGGCCCCUCCCCAGAAGCCGCUGAUAUGUCGGCCCGCAAAGGGGUCGCUUCUGGCCGCGUACUGAAGCUGUGGGUAUGGCCUCGGGUGAGCUGGGUCGUAAGCGCGGGGACAAUCAAGUGCCACUCAGAGCAGGAGCAACGGCAUGUCUCCAAGACUCUGUCCCCACACCGGUGGGACCUGUGUAGUGUUCCUUGCUGCCCACAGCAUUCCUGCCAGCCCUGCAGUGCACUCUCGAGUUCUACUUGCUGUAUCUGGACCUGAUCCAAGAGUACCAGAGGCUUUGCGUCCAGACAAGCAAACUGCUGGUGGCCAGAAAAGGCAUCCAGGACCUCCAGACCUCAGGAGCGUUCUGGAGACAGCGCUGUGGACCUGGGCCAUGGGGUAGAAGCUAUGCCCUGAUUUGGCUACUCAUGAAGCCACGAGGCCAGCCAAGAAGUACAGGACCCACGCCUGCCCACUUGCCUCUCAGAAUCAGGCCUGGGGUUUCCAGGACAGCAGGCUGGCUAAGCAGGAAGCUGGCCAUUACAGGAAUCAAUAAAUGUUUGUUGUGCUCACUCCA